rnacentral:rRNA from 11 species
AAGAAAUCAACCGAGAUUUCCCUAGUAGCGGCGAGCGAACGGGAAUUAGCCCUUAAACAGCUUGUAAGUGAGUGGAAUGUGUUGGAAAGCACAGCGAUACAGGGUGAUAGCCCCGUACAUGAACACGAACUUGUUGUGAAAUCGAGUAGGUCGGGACACGUGUUAUCUUGACUGAAUAUGGGGGGACCAUCCUCCAAGGCUAAAUACU